UAGUAACGGCGAGUGAAGCGGCAACAGCUCAAAUUUGAAAUCUGGCGUCUUCGGCGUCCGAGUUGUAAUUUGCAGAGGGCGCUUUGGCAUUGGCAGCGGUCCAAGUUCCUUGGAACAGGACGUCACAGAGGGUGAGAAUCCCGUACGUGGUCGCUAGCCUUUACCGUGUAAAGCCCCUUCGACGAGUCGAGUUGUUUGGGAAUGCAGCUCUAAAUGGGAGGUAAAUUUCUUCUAAAGCUAAAUACUGGCCAGAGACCGAUAGCGCACAAGUAGAGUGAUCGAAAGAUGAAAAGCACUUUGGAAAGAGAGUUAAAAAGCACGUGAAAUUGUUGAAAGGGAAGCGCUUGCAGCCAGACUUGCCUGUAGUUGCUCAUCCGGGUUUCUACCCGGUGCACUCUUCUAUAGGCAGGCCAGCAUCAGUUUGGGCGGUUGGAUAAAGGUCUCUGUCAUGUACCUCUCUUCGGGGAGAACUUAUAGGGGAGACGACAUGCAACCAGCCUGGACUGAGGUCCGCGCAUCUGCUAGGAUGCUGGCGUAAUGGCUGUAAGCGGCCCGUCUUGAAACACGGACCAAGGAGUCUAACAUCUAUGCGAGUGUUUGGGUGUCAAGCCCGAGCGCGUAAUGAAAGUGAACGGAGGUGGGAACCUUUCGGGGUGCACCAUCGACCGAUCCUGAUGUCUUCGGAUGGAUUUGAGUAAGAGCAUAGCUGUUGGGACCCGAAAGAUGGUGAACUAUGCUUGAAUAGGGUGAAGCCAGAGGAAACUCUGGUGGAGGCUCGCAGCGGUUCUGACGUGCAAAUCGAUCGUCAAAUUUGGGCAUAGGGGCGAAAGACUAAUCGAACUAUCUAGUAGCUGGUUCCUGCCGAAGUUUCCCUCAGGAUAGCAGUAACGUUUUCAGUUUUAUGAGGUAAAGCGAAUGAUUAGAGGCCUGGGGGUUGAAACAACCUU
rnacentral:rRNA from 1 species